rnacentral:rRNA from 1 species
GACGAACGCUGGCGGCACGCCUAACACAUGCAAGUCGAGCGGAGAUUGAGAGCUUGCUCUCAUGAUCAGUGGCGGACGGGUGAGUAACACGUGAGCAACCUGCCUUUCAGAGGGGGACAACAGUUGGAAACGACUGCUAAUACCGCAUAACAUCGUUGAAUGGCAUCGUUUGACGAUCAAAGGAGCAAUCCGCUGAAAGAUGGGCUCGCGUCUGAUUAGAUAGUUGGUGAGGUAACGGCCCACCAAGUCGACGAUCAGUAGCCGGACUGAGAGGUUGAUCGGCCACAUUGGGACUGAGACACGGCCCAGACUCCUACGGGAGGCAGCAGUGGGGGAUAUUGGACAAUGGGGGAAACCCUGAUCCAGCGAUGCCGCGUGAGGGAAGAAGGUUUUCGGAUUGUAAACCUCUGUGGACAGCGACGAUAAUGACGGUAGCUGUUUAGAAAGCCACGGCUAACUACGUGCCAGCAGCCGAC